rnacentral:rRNA from 1 species
CCAUCAAUUAGUUGGCAGUCUAAGGUGACUGCCGGUGACGGACCGAGGAAGGUGGGGAUGACGUCAAAUCAUCAUGCCCCUUAUGACCUGGGCUACACACGUGCUACAAUGGACGAUACAAACGGUUCCCAACUCGCGAGAGGGAGUUAAUACGAUGGUGUCGUUCUCAGCUCGGAUUGGUAACUGCAACUCGCCUACAUGAAGCCGGAAUCCCUACUACUCGCCGUGCAGCAUCCCGCGGUGAAUCCUUUGCGGGGCCUCUACACACCGCCCGCCCAGGAGGAGAGUUUGUAACACAGGAAGUCAGUAGGUAAC